rnacentral:rRNA from 1 species
UGGGGAAUUUUGCACAAUGGGGGAAACCCUGAUGCAGCGACGCCGCGUGAUUUAGAAGGCCUUCGGGUUGUAAAAAUCUUUUCUAUGGGAAGAAAAUGACAGUACCAUAGGAAUAAGGACCGGCUAAUUACGUGCCAGCAGCCGCGGUAAUACGUAAGGUCCGAGCGUUGUCCGGAAUCAUUGGGCGUAAAGGGUACGUAGGCGGGUAAGCAAGUUAGAAGUGAAAUCCUAUAGCUCAACUAUAGUAAGCUUUUAAAACAGCUCAUCUUUAGGUAUGGAAGGGAAAGUGGAAUUCCUAGUGUAGCGGUGAAAUGCGCAGAUAUUAGGAGGAAUACCGGUGGCGAAGGCGACUUUCUGGCCAUAACCUGACGCUGAGGUACGAAAGCGUGGGUAGCAAACAGG